UACGGAGGGGGCGAGCGUUAUUCGGAAUUAUUGGGCGUAAAGGGCGCGUAGGCGGCUGUACAAGUCAAAGGUGAAAUCCCUCGGCUCAACUGAGGAACUGCCUUUGAAACUGUACGGCUUGAGGCCGGGAGGGGGUAGCGGAAUUCCCAGUGUAGCGGUGAAAUGCGUAGAUACUGGGAGGAACACCAGUGGCGAAGGCGGCUAACUGGACCGGUUCUGACGCUGAGGCGCGAAAGCGUGGGUAGCAAACAGG
rnacentral:rRNA from 1 species